CCUUCUUUUAGGUAAAGCCUCAUGUGUAUCAAGUUAAUUUGCAACAAAUAUCUGAAAAGAUUGACAAUUUCAAGAAAGAAAACACAGAACUUGCUGAAAAAAUAACUGUUUGGGAACAGAAGGUUAAUAAAUUAAAGAGAUGUCUUCAAGAAACUAAACAUCUCAGUGAUGAGGCACGUAAACUUAAGGAUAAUAUCAAAACUGUUGAUGGAACUAUGAAAGCUGUGAACAACAUCAUGCAGGGUACACUAUCUUGGCUAGAUACUGAGAAGGAUGGAAAUGUCAAGACUCAAGGCUUGGUAAGAGUUUGGCUGCUCCUUUUUAUUCUAUCUUGGUUUCUGAGGUGUUUGGGCCAGUAGGUGAGCUGAGAACUGCAUU